rnacentral:rRNA from 1 species
AGUGAACGCUGGCGGUAGGCCUAACACAUGCAAGUCGAACGGCAGCACAGGAGAGCUUGCUCUCUGGGUGGCGAGUGGCGGACGGGUGAGGAAUACAUCGGAAUCUGCCCAGUCGUGGGGGAUAACGUAGGGAAACUUACGCUAAUACCGCAUACGACCUUCGGGUGAAAGAGGGGGAUCGCAAGACCUCUCGCGAUUGGAUGAGCCGAUGUCGGAUUAGCUAGUUGGCGGGGUAAUGGCCCACCAAGGCGACGAUCCGUAGCUGGUCCGAGAGGAUGAUCAGCCACACUGGAACUGAGACACGGUCCAGACUCCUACGGGAGGCAGCAGUGGGGAAUAUUGGACAAUGGGCGCAAGCCUGAUCCAGCCAUACCGCGUGGGUGAAGAAGGCCUUCGGGUUGUAAAGCCCUUUUGUUGGGAAAGAAAUCUUUCAGGCUAAUACCCUGGGAGGAUGACGGUACCCAAAGAAUAAGCACCGGCUAACUUCGUG